GGGAAUAUAGCUCAGUGGUAGAGCACUUGCUUAGUUGGUAAGUCCCUGGAUUCAAUCCCCAAUAUAACCG
rnacentral:tRNA from 1 species